UACGUAUGGACCAAGCGUUGUUCGGAUUUACUGGGCGUAAAGGGCGCGUAGGCGGCAUAUUAAGUCAGCUGUGAAAUCUCCGAGCUUAACUCGGAACUGUCAGCUGAUACUGAUGUGCUAGAGUGCAGAAAGGGCAAUCAGAAUUCUUGGUGUAGCGGUGAAAUGCGUAGAUAUCAAGAGGAAUACCUGAGGCGAAGGCGGGUUGCUAGGCUGACACUGACGCUGAGGCGCGAAAGCCAGGGGAGCAAACGGG
rnacentral:rRNA from 1 species